UACAGAGGGUGCAAGCGUUAAUCGGAUUUACUGGGCGUAAAGGGCGCGUAGGUGGUAGCGUAAGUGAGUUGUGAAAUCCCCGGGCUUAACCUGGGAACUGCAACUUAUACUGUGUUACUUGAGUGCAAUAGAGGGUAGUGGAAUUUCCGGUGUAGCGGUGAAAUGCGUAGAUAUCGGAAGGAACACCAGUGGCGAAGGCGGCUACCUGGAUUGACACUGACACUGAGGCGCGAGAGCGUGGGGAGCAAAC
rnacentral:rRNA from 1 species